AAAGGUUGCUGACCCCUGUCUUAGACCUUACCGCCCACAAGAGGUAGUAGCUCCUCCCAGAUCUCACUUGGGAUCUUUCCUUUCUCCUCCCAGCCUCUUACCCUGGGAGUCUGACAAUUCCCUGCCUCCCACCCAGAGUCUUCCAUCAACCAUCUGCCACCCCCAUGAGUAUACAAUGCCUGGACCUUAAUAAAGGCCCCAAGC